CCUACGGGAGACAGCAGUGAGGAAUAUUGGUCAAUGGGCGAUAGCCUGAACCAGCCAAGUAGCGUGAAGGAUGACUGCCCUAUGGGUUGUAAACUUCUUUUAUAUGGGAAUAAAGCGAGGCACGUAUACCUUUUUGCAUGUACUUUAUGAAUAAGGAUCGGCUAACUCCGUGCCAGCAGCCGCGGUAAUACGGAGGAUCCGAGCGUUAUCCGGAUUUAUUGGGUUUAAAGGGAGCGUAGAUGGGUUGUUAAGUCAGUUGUGAAAGUUUGCGGCUCAACCGUAAAAUUGCAGUUGAUACUGGCAGUCUUGAGUACAGUAGAGGUAGGCGGAAUUCGUGGUGUAGCGGUGAAAUGCUUAGAUAUCACGAAGAACCCCGAUUGCGAAGGCAGCUUACUAAACUGUGACUGACACUGAUGCUCGAAAGUGUGGGUAUCAAACAGGAUUAGAUACCCUUGUAGUC
rnacentral:rRNA from 1 species